rnacentral:rRNA from 1 species
CCUACGGGAGGCAGCAGUGAGGAAUAUUGGUCAAUGGACGGAAGUCUGAACCAGCCAUGCCGCGUGCAGGAAGACGGCUCUAUGAGUUGUAAACUGCUUUUGUACAAGGGUAAACCUGAAUACGUGUAUUCAGAUGAAAGUACUGUACGAAUAAGGAUCGGCUAACUCCGUUCCAGCAGCCGCGGGAAUCCGGAGGAUCCAUGCGUUAUCCGGAUUUAUUGGGUUUAAAGGGUGCGUAGGCGGAUUGAUAAGUUAGAGGUGAAACGGCCGAGCUUAACUCGGGAACUGCCUCUAAUACUGUUGAUCCAGAGAGUAUAUGCGGUAGGCGGAAUGUAUGGUGUAGCGGUGAAAUGCUUAGAGAUCAUACAGAACACCGAUUGCGAAGGCAGCUUACCAAUCUAUAUCUGACGUUGAGGCACGAAAGCGUGGGGAGCAAACAGGAUUAGAUACCCGGGUAGUC